rnacentral:rRNA from 15 species
GACCUCGGAUCAGGUAGGGAUACCCGCUGAACUUAAGCAUAUCAAUAAGCGGAGGAAAAGAAACCAACAGGGAUUGCCCUAGUAACGGCGAGUGAAGCGGCAACAGCUCAAAUUUGAAAUCUGGCGUCUUUGGCGUCCGAGUUGUAAUUUGCAGAGGGCGCUUUGGCAUUGGCAGCGGUCCAAGUUCCUUGGAACAGGACGUCACAGAGGGUGAGAAUCCCGUACGUGGUCGCUAGCCUUUACCGUGUAAAGCCCCUUCGACGAGUCGAGUUGUUUGGGAAUGCAGCUCUAAAUGGGAGGUAAAUUUCUUCUAAAGCUAAAUACUGGCCAGAGACCGAUAGCGCACAAGUAGAGUGAUCGAAAGAUGAAAAGCACUUUGGAAAGAGAGUUAAAAAGCACGUGAAAUUGUUGAAAGGGAAGCGCUUGCAGCCAGACUUGCCUGUAGUUGCUCAUCCGGGUUUUUACCCGGUGCACUCUUCUACGGGCAGGCCAGCAUCAGUUUGGGCGGUUGGAUAAAGGUCUCUGUCACGUACCUCCUCUCGGGGAGAUCUUAUAGGGGAGACGACAUGCAACCAGCCUGGACUGAGGUCCGCGCAUCUGCUAGGAUGCUGGCGUAAUGGCUGUAAGCGGCCCGUCUUGUAACACGGACCAAGGAGUCUAACA